UAGGACGAACGCUGGCGGCGUGCCUAAUACAUGCAAGUCGAACGGUCUUUCUAUGGAAGCUUGCUUCCACUGAGAAGAUAGUGGCGAACGGGUGAGUAACACGUGGGUAACCUGCCCAUAAGAGGGGGAUAACAUCCGGAAACGGGUGCUAAUACCGCAUAGUUUUCUUGAUCGCAUGAUUGAGAAAGGAAAGACGGCCUUUGUGCUGUCGCUUAUGGAUGGACCCGCGGCGUAUUAGUUAGUUGGUGAGGUAACGGCUCACCAAGACGAUGAUACGUAGCCGACCUGAGAGGGUGAUCGGCCACAUUGGGACUGAGACACGGCCCAAACUCCUACGGGAGGCAGCAGUAGGGAAUCUUCCGCAAUGGACGAAAGUCUGACGGAGCAACGCCGCGUGAGUGAAGAAAGGUUUUCGGAUCGUAAAACUCUGUUGUCAGAGAAGAACAAGUUGGAGAGUAACUGCUCCAGCCUUGACGGUAUCUGACCAGAAAGCCACGGCUAACUACGUGCCAGCAGCCGC
rnacentral:rRNA from 1 species